AUUGAACGCUGGCGGCAGGCCUAACACAUGCAAGUCGAGCGGAUGAAGGGAGCUUGCUCCUGGAUUCAGCGGCGGACGGGUGAGUAAUGCCUAGGAAUCUGCCUGGUAGUGGGGGAUAACGUCCGGAAACGGGCGCUAAUACCGCAUACGUCCUGAGGGAGAAAGUGGGGGUUCUUGGGACCCAAGCUUUCAGGCUGGCCCUAGGUCGGAUUAGCUAGUUGGUGGGGUAAAGGCCUACCAAGGCGACGAUCCGUAACUGGUCUGAGAGGAUGAUCAGUCACACUGGAACUGAGACACGGUCCAGACUCCUACGGGAGGCAGCAGUGGGGAAUAUUGGACAAUGGGCGAAAGCCUGAUCCAGCCAUGCCGCGUGUGUGAAGAAGGUCUUCGGAUUGUAAAGCACUUUAAGUUGGGAGGAAGGGCAGUAAGUUAAUACCUUGCUGUUUUGAUGUUACCAACAGAAUAAGCACCGGCUAACUUCGUG
rnacentral:rRNA from 1 species